rnacentral:rRNA from 1 species
GACAGAGGGGGCAAGCGUUGCUCGGAAUUACUGGGCGUAAAGGGCGCGUAGGCGGGAUGGUAAGUCGGUCGUGAAAUCCCUCGGCUCAACCGAGGAACGUCGAUCGAUACUACCGUUCUUGAGGAUUGCAGAGGAGACUGGAAUUCCCGGUGUAGCGGUGAAAUGCGUAGAUAUCAGGAGGAACACCGGUGGCGAAGGCGGCCCUCUGGACGGAUACCUGACGCU